AAAAAGAAAGGCUUUAGCUGCCAUCUUGCGUCCCCGCGUGUAUGCGCCUAAUCUCAACUGGUCCACCCAAGACCCCCGAGCACCAACCCUAGUCCCCCGUGCAGCCCCUUAUCCACUCAGACAAGAUGAAAGAAACAAUCAUGAACCAGGAAAAACUCCAAGGAACAAUGAUCCAGUUUAACAACCCUGAAGUUCAGGCAUCUCUGGCAGUGAACACUUUCACCAUUACAGGCCAUGCUGAGACAAAGCAGCUGACAGAAACGCUAACCAGCGUCUUAAACCAGCUUACUGCAGUCGGUCUGACUAGUUUAAGGAGACUGGCUGAAGCUCUGCCCAAACGAUCUGUGGAUGGAAAAGCACCACUUGGUACUGGAGAGGAGGAUGAUGAUGAUGAUGAUGAUGAAGUUCCACCUCUUGUGGAGAAUUUUGAUGAGGCUUCCAAGAAUGAGGCAAACUGAAUUGAAUCAACUUCUGAAGAUAAAACUUGAAGAAGUUACUGGGAGAUGCUAUUUUAUAUUAUGACUGCUUUUAAAUAAUUUUUUGUUUAUGGAUCUGAUAAAAUCUAGAUCUCUAAUAUUUUUAAGCCCAAGCCCCUUGGACACUGAAACUCUUUUCAGUUUUUGCUUAUACACAAUUCAUUCUUUGCAGUUAAUUAAGCAGAAGAAGCCUGGGAACAAAGUUUGAAACAAACGUUAAUAAAGUUAUUCACCUAG